GAUGAACGCUGGCGGCGUGCCUAAUACAUGCAAGUCGAGCGAACGGACGAGAAGCUUGCUUCUCUGAUGUUAGCGGCGGACGGGUGAGUAACACGUGGAUAACCUACCUAUAAGACUGGGAUAACUUCGGGAAACCGGAGCUAAUACCGGAUAAUAUUUUGAACCGCAUGGUUCAAAAGUGAAAGACGGCCUUUCUGUCACUUAUAGCUGGAUCCGCGCUGCAUUAGCUAGUUGGUAAGGUAACGGCUUACCAAGGCAACGAUGCAUAGCCGACCUGAGAGGGUGAUCGGCCACACGGGAACUGAGACACGGUCCAGACUCCUACGGGAGGCAGCAGUAGGGAAUCUUCCGCAAUGGGCGAAAGCCUGACGGAGCAACGCCGCGUGAGUGAUGAAGGUCUUCGGAUCGUAAAACUCUGUUAUUAGGGAAGAACAUAUGUGUAAGUAACUGUGCACAUCUUGACGGUACCUAAUCAGAAAGCCACGGCUAACUACGUG
rnacentral:rRNA from 1 species